AGUGAACGCUGGCGGUAGGCCUAACACAUGCAAGUCGAGCGGCAGCACAGUAAGAGCUUGCUCUUACAGGUGGCGAGUGGCGGACGGGUGAGGAAUACAUCGGAAUCUACUUUUUCGUGGGGGAUAACGUAGGGAAACUUACGCUAAUACCGCAUACGACCUACGGGUGAAAGCAGGGGAUCUUCGGACCUUGCGCGAUUGAAUGAGCCGAUGUCGGAUUAGCUAGUUGGCGGGGUAAAGGCCCACCAAGGCGACGAUCCGUAGCUGGUCUGAGAGGAUGAUCCGCCACACUGGAACUGAGACACGGUCCAGACUCCUACGGGAGGCAGCAGUGGGGAAUAUUGGACAAUGGGCGCAAGCCUGAUCCAGCCAUACCGCGUGGGUGAAGAAGGCCUUCGGGUUGUAAAGCCCUUUUGUUGGGAAAGAAAAGCAGCAGGUUAAUACCCCGCUGUUCUGACGGUACCCAAAGAAUAAGCACCGGCUAACUUCGUG
rnacentral:rRNA from 1 species